rnacentral:rRNA from 1 species
UACGAAGGGGGCUAGCGUUGUUCGGAAUUACUGGGCGUAAAGCGCGCGCAGGCGGUCUUCCAAGUCAGUGGUGAAAGCCCGGAGCCCAACUCCGGAACUGCCAUUGAAACUGUUAGACUUGAGGAUGAGAGAGGUGAGUGGAAUUCCCAGUGUAGAGGUGAAAUUCGUAGAUAUUGGGAAGAACACCGGUGGCGAAGGCGGCUCACUGGCUCAUUACUGACGCUGAGGUGCGAAAGCGUGGGGAGCAAACAGG